AACUCUCAAACUCUUGUUUUGGAUGCAAAUCCUUGCUUGAGUUUGGACUUGGGUGUUUGCCGGUGAUGAACCGACUCGCCUUAAACAUAUUAGCUGGACUUGUCUAUAUGACUGGUUUGACUUGGCAUAAUAAGUAUUUUGCUAAGGACAUCUUCGGAUGGCCAGUACCUAGGCUCUGUGUCUGCUAACUAAACCAUCACUUGGAGUGCAUCUUUAUGGUGUUGCUUCCUGUGUAUACUUUGAC
rnacentral:misc_RNA from 1 species